rfam:Populus trichocarpa scaffold_1_contig_452, whole genome shotgun sequence.
UCUAAAACUUGAGAUAUGGGCUAAACACUGAACAGUGUCUAGGCUGUAGGAUAUAUUCAGACUUCUCUUUUGUUGCUACGAUUUGAGCUUGAAAACGACAGUUUUGAAUCUUGGACUCUUUAUGAAUGUUUUAGACCUAUAUCUUAGCUUUCCAUC